rnacentral:rRNA from 1 species
AAUCAACGCUGGCGGCGUGCCUCAGACAUGCAAGUCGAACGAUUAAAGCUCUCUUCGGAGAGUGUAUAGAGUGGCGCACGGGUGAGUAACACGUAAGUAAUCUACCCUCGAGUGGGGAAUAACAACCGGAAACGGUUGCUAAUACCGCAUAAUGCAGCGGCACCGCAAGGUGACAGUUGUUAAAAGAUUUAUCGCUUGAGGAGGAGCUUGCGGCAGAUUAGCUAGUUGGUAGGGUAACGGCUUACCAAGGCUACGAUCUGUAACCGGUCUAAGAGGACGGUCGGUCACACUGACACUGAAUAACGGGUCAGACUCCUACGGGAGGCAGCAGUCGGGAAUUUUGGGCAAUGGGCGAAAGCCUGACCCAGCAACGCCGCGUGAAGGAUGAAGUAUUUCGGUAUGUAAACUUCGAAAGAAUAGGAAGAAUUAAAUGAACGGUACUAUUUAUAAGGUCCGGCUAACUACGUGCCAGCAGCCGCGGUAAU